rnacentral:tRNA from 1 species
GCGGGUAUAGCUCAGGGGCAGAGCACCUGCCUUCCAAGCAGGCUACACGGGUUCGAAUCCCGUUACCCGCU